UACGAAGGACCCGAGCGUUAUCCGGAUUCAUUGGGUUUAAAGGGUGCGUAGGCGGAAUGAUAAGUCAGUGGUGAAAUCCUGCAGCUCAACUGCAGAACUGCCAUUGAUACUGUCGUUCUUGAAUACAACUGAUGUGGGCGGAAUGUGCCAUGUAGUGGUGAAAUACUUAGAUAUGGCACAGAACACCGAUUGCGAAGGCAGCUCACAAAAAUUGUUAUUGACGCUGAUGCACGAAAGCGUGGGGAUCAAACAGG
rnacentral:rRNA from 1 species